AGGUCGAGCGGAAACGAGUUAACUGAACCUUCGGGGGACGUUAACGGCGUCGAGCGGCGGACGGGUGAGUAAUGCCUAGGAAAUUGCCCUGAUGUGGGGGAUAACCAUUGGAAACGAUGGCUAAUACCGCAUGAUGCCUACGGGCCAAAGAGGGGGACCUUCGGGCCUCUCGCGUCAGGAUAUGCCUAGGUGGGAUUAGCUAGUUGGUGAGGUAAGGGCUCACCAAGGCGACGAUCCCUAGCUGGUCUGAGAGGAUGAUCAGCCACACUGGAACUGAGACACGGUCCAGACUCCUACGGGAGGCAGCAGUGGGGAAUAUUGCACAAUGGGCGCAAGCCUGAUGCAGCCAUGCCGCGUGUGUGAAGAAGGCCUUCGGGUUGUAAAGCACUUUCAGUCGUGAGGAAGGUUUAGGCGUUAAUAGCGUAUAGAUUUGACGUUAGCGACAGAAGAAGCACCGGCUAACUCCGUGCCAGCAGCCGCGGUAAUACGGAGGGUGCGAGCGUUAAUCGGAAUUACUGGGCGUAAAGCGCAUGCAGGUGGUUUGUUAAGUCAGAUUGUGAAAAGCCCGGGGCUCAACCUCGGAAUAGCAUUUGAAACUGGCAGACUAGAGUACUGUAGAGGGGGGUAGAAUUUCAGGUGUAGCGGUGAAAUGCGUAGAGAUCUGAAGGAAUACCGGUGGCGAAGCGGGCCCCCUGGACAGAUACUG
rnacentral:rRNA from 1 species